rnacentral:sRNA from 1 species
UAAUAUAAUCGGGCGUAAUACGGGCUUUCAUUAUUAUAUAUUAUAUUUGUUUUUUCCUUUUUAAUAUAACGUGUCGGAAAUUCCCGUUAAUCGGUUCAAAUAAAAACGUAAAUUAUAAUCAAAUUUUGAAAACGUUUCCGCCUAAGGUAUUUAUAUUUCCGAAAUUCUUUUAAACUUAAAGAAGUAUUUUAACGUUUUAUAAUUUGUUAAAAUUAUAAAAAGUUGGCGAAUAUUAUAAAACUCCGUAUUUUAUAUUUUUUAAUAUAUUAUUACCGCAGAUAAUAUUUUAUUAUAAAUUAUAUAAUUUUUUCAAACGUCGGUUAAUUUAACCGAACAAAAUACGAUCGAAUAUUAUAUACCGUCCGUCUUUUUAACGAAAAAUAAUCCCCUGACGCCGCACCGGAAUAAUUUACUUCUAAUUUUAUAUUUUUCGCGUUAUCCCACAUAAAAAUAUAAAUAUUUGGAAAAAUGCGAAUUUUAACGUUUCUCACAUUUUUUCGAAUUUAUUUAUUUAUUAAAACGGGGUUUUUUUAUAAAUAUUAAUAACGGGGCCGUUAACGAUAAAUAACCGCUUAUAAAUCGCGGUAAAAAUUCGCAAACCCCAAAAAACUGUGAAACUUCCGGAAUUUCGUCGGGGUUUUCCAAUUUCGAAUUACUUUUAUUUUUGCGGGGUUGGUUUAAAAUCUUUCCCAUAUUUCUAUAAUAAAUUCCAAAUAUUUAAUUUUUUUACCGCGAACGUGUUUUUAUCGAAAUUCAAAUUAAAUCCCGUUAUAAUUAACCUAUUUAAUAUCCGGGCUAUUUUCGACCAAUAAUUAAAUUCGGAACCGGAAAAAUAUAUAAAAAUAUUAUGCGAAUGAAUUAAUAAAUAAUUUUCCAAUAUAUAAUUUAAUAUAUUAUUAAUAUAAUAUUGGAUAAUUGCAAACAUUCCGGCGAAUUUAAAUAAAUAUAUUAAGUAUUCGAAUAAUUUGAAAUAUACUUUAAACGCCGUAAAAUAUUCAUCGUUUUCCGCAGUUUGUAAUUUGUACAAUACCGCGCGCACGUUAGAAAACGUAUUAGUUUUUAAAUCAACGGUAAGAAAUAGCGGUUUUAUAUAAUAUAAUUAUUUAAACAUUGACAAUUUACGUAUAAUUUCCAAUUUCCUAAUAUUUUGCGCAUUAGUUUAGUUGGAGUGGUCGCCGAUAAAAUAUUAACGCUAACUUAAUUUUUAUUCAUUAUAUAUAUUACUUGGUAUUAUUAUUUUAACGAUUGUUUUUAUAAUAUAUGGUAAAAACGGUUGUAUAAAAAGGACGGGGUUCUUCCAGACUUAUUCUUUUGCAACCAAAUAUACUAAUAGAAAUAAUCUUGGUAUAAUAAUAAUUUAAACGUUUUCAUUUUAUUAAAUAUAUAUGCGAAUUUCGCGAAUUCGGGGAAAAAUAUUAUUUAUACCGGCGUUUAUUUAUAUAUAACCGUUAUUUGCAAAAUAUUCGCCAUUUUCCGGAAAAAUAUUAACACAAAUUCCAUUUGUUCGCCGUCGCGUUUUUUUAUUCACCAAUACGCGGUUAAAAAAACGUUAACAAUAAUUAUUGUGGAUUUGGUUAAAAUAGGGUGUAUAAACAAUUUAUUUGUUAAUAUAUUUUUACAGCGUCCAUAAUUAAUUUUUUCCGCGCCGCGUUAAAUAACAUCCGCUGGUUAAUUAUCCAAAAUAAUUUUAAUAUUACGUUCCGGACUAACCCCGGUAUAAUAUAAAAAAUAUCGGCGUUAUCCAUUUAUUAAUAUUUAUUUUAUAUUUGCCCAAUUUUUUAAUUAUUGGUUAAAUGCGUUUUACCGUCGUACCCAAUUGGCGCGCGCGGGGUAAGAAUAUGUUUUUAAUUUCUAACCGGAAUAUAUAUUUAUUAUUUAUCGUCGCGUAAUAUUUACAAUUUCAAUUUAUUUAUAUAUCAAUAAAUUGCAAAUUAUUUAAUAUAAUAAAAAUAAAAAACGACGUUCCGUUUAUAAAACGUCGAAUUAAACCGAUUUUGUUAUAUUUGUUUUUCGGGCUUUUAUUCGUUUUUAUUUUUAUUACGUUUUGCGGUUUUUAUUUUCGAUUAAAUUUUGUGUCAAAAAUUAUUUGUUUUUUUUCGGGGAUUUCCAUCGUAAUUGCUGUUAUUAUUAUAAAAAAACGUAAUACCGUUGCGUAUAUAUAAUUAGUUAUUUAAUAGCCCGAAUUACCGCAACGCAAUUACGCUUUUAUUUCGCGUUUCCGUUAAUAUUUAUUAUAAACGAUUUAAUAAACGCGUGGACGCGUAUUUCUUUAAUCAGAAUCCGAAAAUUAGGCCUGUUUAAAUUAACGGCGCCUUUUCGUUUUUUUAUUAAAUUUGAAAUUUAUCGCGGUUAUAUUUAUUAUAAACGUAUUUUCGUUUUUUAUUAAUUUGGGAACCGGGGCGGUAUUUCCGCGGUAAAAACCGAAACGUUUAUCUAAUUCGAUCGUUUGAAGAUUUCAAAAAGUUUGGCAGUAAAUAACCACCGUUUUUAACUAAAUAUCGUUUGAAUAUUUAAUCCGACGUACAUUUCCCGGACUUUACAAAAUAUGCGAAAACGCACAAAAUUAAUAAUACGGAUUUUAACCAUUUAAACCAAUUUUCCGGCCGUAAUUGGAAGUUAUUCGAAAACAGUAAUAAAUUAGGCAAAUAAUGGGUUUAAUUUUACUACUAACGUUUCGAAUUCGCUUAAAAUCUAUACCCGUUUAUAAAGAUUAUUAUAUAUAUAUUCCAAAUAAUCCACAAAGUCCGCGUCGCGGCGGAAUUUAUAUUUUAUAAAGCAUUACCAUAUUAUAAACGAGGUCGGAGCGCCAUUAUAUAAUAGCGGAUUUCGGAACAAUUUACGUUUGACGGUACUGUUAUUUGUAAAAUUUCCGCGAUAAUUAACGUUAUCGGGGUACCCGUUUAUAAUAUUUGCAUUUUCUUUAUCAAUACGCGAUUAUCCGUUAUAAUUUUUAAAGCGCGGCGCCCGGUACCUAAACGACGGUUUUUUCCAUAAAUGGCGAAUUUAUUAUUUGUAAAAAAGAAAUAAUAAACGAUAAUAAAUAUUACAGCGUAAAUUAACAAUUAUAUAACGGUUGGGUACCCGAAAGGAAUUAUUAUUAUCGUUAAAGGAAAAGGAAAAAAAAGGGUACGGAAAAGGUUUUGGCGACCCUCCCUCCCUUAUAUAUAACGUGAAUUGUCACGUAAUCCCCGCUGCUAUUUAUAUACGGAAAUACGUGCGAUUAGUACGCAUCCGUAAUAUUAUACCGGUUUAAAUUGGCCUGUUACAAAUAAGAGGAAAAUGUUCCUUUACUAUAUAUAUAAUAAUAUAUAGACAUUUUUGUGCAAAAUAUUUUAGAGAUUAAUAAGACAUAAUUAUAUAAAAUAAUUGUUUUAAUAUUUAUUUCCUCCUAUAUAUUCCAUGAUAAACUAAUAAUAUUCCAAAAUAUAUAAAUUUCCAAGUUUAAUUGUUAUUAUAAUAUAAAAGUCUUGGAAAAAUUCUAUUU